CAAUAGCGUAUAUUUAAGUUGUUGCAGUUAAAAAGCUCGUAGUUGGAUUUCGGAUGGGACUUGCCGGUCCGUCGUUUCGAUGUGCACUGGCCAGUCCUAUCUUGUUGUCGGGGACUAGCUCCUGGGCUUCACUGUCCGGGACUAGGAGCUGACGAGGUUACUUUGAGUAAAUUAGAGUGUUCAAAGCAAGCCUACGCUCUGAAUACAUUAGCAUGGAAUAACACGAUAGGACUCUGGCUUAUCUUGUUGGUCUGUGAGACCAGAGUAAUGAUUAAGAGGGACAGUCGGGGGCAUUUGUAUUUCAUUGUCAGAGGUGAAAUUCUUGGAUUUAUGAAAGACGAACUUCUGCGAAAGCAUUUGUCAAGGAUGUUUUCAUUAA
rnacentral:rRNA from 1 species